UUAGCUAAAGUUCCCCUUUCAAUCUCUUUAAAAUCACAUUUUUAAUAUUGAUACUGUUUCACUUUCCCUGGGGUCUCAGCAUACCUCUACUGCCCACAUCAGGUGAAAUCAAGGCGACACGAAUCUGUCCUGAGUCUACCUCGCUGUUGGGCGUUGAUGCCAGAGAGCUCAGACAUGACUGUACUUGGAGUGUCUACAACAGCUAAUGGCACAGCCUUCAGUAUGUACCUGGCUAUAUGGACCGUUUCUGGGAGAGAUAUCUCAUACAACAUCUGAUUUUAAUGAGGCAGUUUCUCCUUUCCCUUUCCCGGUACAAGUGAGCUUGUGUAAUCACCCUGUCUGUGUCACCCUACAUUUCACUGGCUUAGAAUAUAUCAACCUCUCGUUCCUCCUGUUGAAUUUUAUUGGUAGAAAAGCGCACUGACCAGCUCAGGGAGGUUAAGUCAUUCCAGGAAAUACUCUGUGAAUGUUGUCAAUACUUGAAUAAGAAAACUCAGCUACCAUGUCUACACUACUAUACUUGGGGGUUUGUAGAUAAAUAGUGAUGUAUUGGAAUGAUGUGCUUGUGUGAAAGUGGCAACACAAAAUAUAGUGGCAUUUUAAUGACGGUUGUUGUAAGAACGUACAGGUUAUUAUGGCUGAUAUUGCUUAAGACGGCCACAAUGCUGAUCACGUGAUACUGUUGUUAGUGUUGUUCUGUUGUUCCGUUCCGUGUCUGUGAUUGGCAGGAAGAGAUGUGUUAAGUGCUAUGUUGUAUUUGCAAGUGUACACUGUGUGCAAUAAAGAUGUAUCCAUUUUU